rnacentral:misc_RNA from 1 species
UAAGAAGCUCAGAGAGAUCCCAGCACACCUUAAAAUGGCAGCUUAACAACAGAAUACAAUGGAACAUAGCUUUCAAUAACAGGGACGACAGCGCCCCCCCUGAGCUUGAACUUGGGCUUUGCCAAAUUCAUCUCCAGUCUCCAAUAUAGGUAGGUUGCAGUGUCCCAGUAAAUGAGAACAAGGUCUUAAUGGCUCAAACUCCUCUAAUUGUUCAUGUCAUCAAAUGAUUGGAGUUCCAAUCCGCAGUAGUUCUGAG